rnacentral:rRNA from 1 species
CCUACGGGUGGCUGCAGUGAGGAAUAUUGGUCAAUGGCCGGAAGGCUGAACCAGCCAUGCCGCGUGAAGGUCAGUGCCCUAUGGGCGUUAAACUUAUUUUGUGCGGGAGCAAUAAUGGUCACGUGUGGCCAGACGAGAGUACCGUACGAAUAAGCAUCGGCUAACUCCGUGCCAGCAGCCGCGGUAAUUCGGGGGAUGCAAGCGUUAUCCGGAUUUACUGGGUUGAAAGGGUGCGUAGGCUGGGAGGUAAGUCAGCGGUGAAAUGCCCCCGGUCAACGGGGUGAAGUGCCAUUGAUACUGCCUGGCUGGAAUGCGGAUGCCGUAGGAGGAAUGUGUGGUGUAGCGGUGAAAUGCAUAGAUAUCACACAGAACACCGAUUGCGAAGGCAUCUCACGAAUCCGCGAUUGACGCUGAUGCACGAAAGCGUGGGUAUCAAACAGGAUUAGAUACCCGAGUAGUC